GCUGCUGUAGCCCAACUGGAAGCAGGCGCUGGUCUUAGAAACCAGAGGUUGUGGGUUCGACUCCCACCAGCAGUA
rnacentral:tRNA from 2 species